GGGUUGUGAGGUUAAGCGACUAAGCGUACACGGUGGAUGCCCUGGCAGUCAGAGGCGAUGAAGGACGUGCUAAUCUGCGAAAAGCGUCGGUAAGGUGAUAUGAACCGUUAUAACCGGCGAUGUCCGAAUGGGGAAACCCAGUGCAAUUCGUUGCACUAUCGUUAACUGAAUACAUAGGUUAACGAGGCGAACCGGGGGAACUGAAACAUCUAAGUACCCCGAGGAAAAGAAAUCAACCGAGAUUCCCCCAGUAGCGGCGAGCGAACGGGGAGCAGCCCAGAGUCUGAAUCAGCUUGUGUGUUAGUGGAACGGUCUGGAAAGUCCGACGGUACAGGGUGAUAGUCCCGUACACCAAAAUGCACAGGCUGUGAACUCGAAGAGUAGGGCGGGACACGUGGUAUCCUGUCUGAAUAUGGGGGGACCAUCCUCCAAGGCUAAAUACUCCUGACUGACCGAUAGUGAACCAGUACCGUGAGGGAAAGGCGAAAAGAACCCCGGCGAGGGGAGUGAAAAAGAACCUGAAACCGUGUACGUACAAGCAGUGGGAGCACCUUCGGGUGUGACUGCGUACCUUUUGUAUAAUGGGUCAGCGACUUAUAUUCUGUAGCAAGGUUAACCGUAUAGGGGAGCCGCAGGGAAACCGAGUCUUAACUGGGCGUUAAGUUGCAGGGUAUAGACCCGAAACCCGGUGAUCUAGCCAUGGGCAGGUUGAAGGUUGGGUAACACUAACUGGAGGACCGAACCGACUAAUGUUGAAAAAUUAGCGGAUGACUUGUGGCUGGGGGUGAAAGGCCAAUCAAACCGGGAGAUAGCUGGUUCUCCCCGAAAGCUAUUUAGGUAGCGCCUCGUGAAUUCAUCUUCGGGGGUAGAGCACUGUUUCGGCUAGGGGGUCAUCCCGACUUACCAACCCGAUGCAAACUACGAAUACCGAAGAAUGUUAUCACGGGAGACACACGGCGGGUGCUAACGUCCGUCGUGAAGAGGGAAACAACCCAGACCGCCAGCUAAGGUCCCAAAGUCAUGGUUAAGUGGGAAACGAUGUGGGAAGGCACAGACAGCCAGGAUGUUGGCUUAGAAGCAGCCAUCAUUUAAAGAAAGCGUAAUAGCUCACUGGUCGAGUCGGCCUGCGCGGAAGAUGUAACGGGGCUAAACCAUGCACCGAAGCUGCGGCAGCGACACUAUGUGUUGUUGGGUAGGGGAGCGUUCUGUAAGCCUGCGAAGGUGACCUGUGAGGGUUGCUGGAGGUAUCAGAAGUGCGAAUGCUGACAUAAGUAACGAUAAAGCGGGUGAAAAGCCCGCUCGCCGGAAGACCAAGGGUUCCUGUCCAACGUUAAUCGGGGCAGGGUGAGUCGACCCCUAAGGCGAGGCCGAAAGGCGUAGUCGAUGGGAAACAGGUUAAUAUUCCUGUACUUGGUGUUACUGCGAAGGGGGGACGGAGAAGGCUAUGUUAGCCGGGCGACGGUUGUCCCGGUUUAAGCAUGUAGGCUGAUUGUCCAGGCAAAUCCGGAUAAUCAAGGCUGAGGUGUGAUGACGAGGCACUACGGUGCUGAAGUAACAAAUGCCCUGCUUCCAGGAAAAGCCUCUAAGCAUCAGGUAACAUUAAAUCGUACCCCAAACCGACACAGGUGGUCAGGUAGAGAAUACCAAGGCGCUUGAGAGAACUCGGGUGAAGGAACUAGGCAAAAUGGUGCCGUAACUUCGGGAGAAGGCACGCUGGUGUGUAGGUGAAGUCCCUGCGGAUGGAGCUGAGACCAGUCGAAGAUACCAGCUGGCUGCAACUGUUUAUUAAAAACACAGCACUGUGCAAACACGAAAGUGGACGUAUACGGUGUGACGCCUGCCCGGUGCCGGAAGGUUAAUUGAUGGGGUUAUCCGUAAGGAGAAGCUCUUGAUCGAAGCCCCGGUAAACGGCGGCCGUAACUAUAACGGUCCUAAGGUAGCGAAAUUCCUUGUCGGGUAAGUUCCGACCUGCACGAAUGGCGUAAUGAUGGCCAGGCUGUCUCCACCCGAGACUCAGUGAAAUUGAACUCGCUGUGAAGAUGCAGUGUACCCGCGGCAAGACGGAAAGACCCCGUGAACCUUUACUAUAGCUUGACACUGAACAUUGAGCCUUGAUGUGUAGGAUAGGUGGGAGGCUUUGAAGCGUGGACGCCAGUCUGCGUGGAGCCAACCUUGAAAUACCACCCUUUAAUGUUUGAUGUUCUAACGUUGGCCCCUGACCGGGGUUGCGGACAGUGUCUGGUGGGUAGUUUGACUGGGGCGGUCUCCUCCCAAAGCGUAACGGAGGAGCACGAAGGUUAGCUAAUCCUGGUCGGACAUCAGGAGGUUAGUGCAAUGGCAUAAGCUAGCUUGACUGCGAGCGUGACGGCGCGAGCAGGUGCGAAAGCAGGUCAUAGUGAUCCGGUGGUUCUGAAUGGAAGGGCCAUCGCUCAACGGAUAAAAGGUACUCCGGGGAUAACAGGCUGAUACCGCCCAAGAGUUCAUAUCGACGGCGGUGUUUGGCACCUCGAUGUCGGCUCAUCACAUCCUGGGGCUGAAGUAGGUCCCAAGGGUAUGGCUGUUCGCCAUUUAAAGUGGUACGCGAGCUGGGUUUAGAACGUCGUGAGACAGUUCGGUCCCUAUCUGCCGUGGGCGCUGGAGAAUUGAGGGGGGCUGCUCCUAGUACGAGAGGACCGGAGUGGACGCAUCACUGGUGUUCGGGUUGUCAUGCCAAUGGCACUGCCCGGUAGCUAAAUGCGGAAGAGAUAAGUGCUGAAAGCAUCUAAGCACGAAACUUGCCCCGAGAUGAGUUCUCCCUGAGACUUUAAGUCUCCUGAAGGAACGUUAAAGACGAUGACGUUGAUAGGCCGGGUGUGUAAGCGCAGCGAUGCGUUGAGCUAACCGGUACUAAUGAACCGUGAGGCUUAACCUUACAACGCCGAAG
rnacentral:rRNA from 1 species